rnacentral:rRNA from 1 species
AUUAAACGCUGGCGGCAGGCCUAACACAUGCAAGUCGAGCGGAUGAAGGGAGCUAGCUCCUGGAUUCAGCGGCGGACGGGUGAGUAAUGCCUAGGAAUCUGCCUGGUAGUGGGGGAUAACGUCCGGAAACGGGCGCUAAUACCGCAUACGUCCUGAGGGAGAAAGUGGGGGAUCUUCGGACCUCACGCUAUCAGAUGAGCCUAGGUCGGAUUAGCUAGUUGGUGGGGUAAAGGCCUACCAAGGCGACGAUCCGUAACUGGUCUGAGAGGAUGAUCAGUCACACUGGAACUGAGACACGGUCCAGACUCCUACGGGAGGCAGCAGUGGGGAAUAUUGGACAAUGGGCGAAAGCCUGAUCCAGCCAUGCCGCGUGUGUGAAGAAGGUCUUCGGAUUGUAAAGCACUUUAAGUUGGGAGGAAGGGCAGUAAGUUAAUACCUUGCUGUUUUGACGUUACCAACAGAAUAAGCACCGGCUAACUUCGUG